GCUAGCUUGCUAGUAGGCGACGAGUGGCGCACGGGUGAGUAACGCGUGGGAACCUGCCUUUUUCUGCGGGAUAACGGUUGGAAACGACCGCUAAUACCGCAUACGCCCUACGGGGGAAAGGUCCGCCGGAAAAAGAGGGGCCCGCGUCUGAUUAGCUUGUUGGUAGGGUAAUGGCCUACCAAGGCAACGAUCAGUAGCUGGUCUGAGAGGAUGAUC
rnacentral:rRNA from 1 species